rnacentral:snRNA from 1 species
GGAUGUGAGGGCGAUCUGGCUGCGACAUCUGUCACCGCAUUGAUCGCUAGGGUUGAUUCGGCUGAUCUGGCUGACUAGGCAGGUGUCCCUUUCCUCCCUCACCGCUCCAUGUGCUUCAUCCCUCCAGAAGCUGCAGGCUCGGUCGAAGAGGACGGCCUUCCCUGAAUAGAGACAGACUGGUUGAGGGUAUUUGAGUAGCUGUGCUCCCCUGCUAGAACCUCCAAAUAAGCUCUCAAGAGUAUACAUGCUUUUUUAUUUUUAAGAUUAUAUAUAUUUUAUUUUACUUAUUGGUUUGAA